rnacentral:rRNA from 1 species
ACCGGCGGCUCGAGUGGUGGCCACUAUUACUGGGCUUAAAGCGUUCGUAGCUGGCUUGUUAAGUCUCUGGGGAAAUCUUCCGGCUCAACCGGAAGGCGUCUCAGGGAUACUGGCAGGCUAGGGACCGGGAGAGGUGAGAGGUACUCCAGGGGUAGGAGUGAAAUGCUGUGCUACUAGGGGGAGCACCUGUGGCGAAGGCGGCACCCUGGAACGGCUCCGACGGUGGGGAGCGAAAGCUGGGGUAGCAAGCAG